GACGUAGGGGCCAGCGUUGUUCGGAAUUACUGGGUGUAAAGGGUUCGUAGGCGGUGUGGCAAGUCGGGAGUGAAAUCUCUGGGCUCAACCCAGAGUCUGCUUCCGAAACUGCUGUGCUUGAGUGUGGGAGAGGCGCGUGGAAUUGCAGGUGUAGCGGUGAAAUGCGUAGAUAUCUGCAGGAACACCCGUGGCGAAGGCGGCCCUCUGGCUCGACCCUGACGCUGAGGCGCGGAAAGCGUGGGGAGCGAACGGG
rnacentral:rRNA from 1 species